GAUGCGCUUAGGGGACACACCCGUUCCCAUCCCGAACACGAUGGUUAAGACCUAAGCGGCCGAUGGUACUGCACUGGAGACGGUGUGGGAGAGCAGGUGGCUGCCAGCU
rnacentral:rRNA from 2 species